rnacentral:rRNA from 1 species
GACGAACGCUGGCGGCGUGCUUAACACAUGCAAGUCGAACGGAAAGGCCCUGCUUUUGUGGGGUGCUCGAGUGGCGAACGGGUGAGUAACACGUGAGUAACCUGCCCUUGACUUUGGGAUAACUUCAGGAAACUGGGGCUAAUACCGGAUAGGAGCUCCUGCUGCAUGGUGGGGGUUGGAAAGUUUCGGCGGUUGGGGAUGGACUCGCGGCUUAUCAGCUUGUUGGUGGGGUAGUGGCUUACCAAGGCUUUGACGGGUAGCCGGCCUGAGAGGGUGACCGGCCACAUCGGGACUGAGAUACGGCCCAGACUCCUACGGGAGGCAGCAGUGGGGAAUAUUGCACAAUGGGCUGAAGCCUGAUGCAGCAACGCCGCGUGCGGGAUGACGGCCUUCGGGUUGUAAACCGCUUUCGCCUGUGACGAAGCGUGAGUGACGGUAAUGGGUAAAGAAGCACCGGCUAACUACGUG